GCAGUCACAGGUUUUUCUUUAGUAUUCUGUAGUAUCUCUUUGUAGUAUAGUAUCUCUUUAAUAUAGUAUAGUAUAAUGUAAUAUAGUAUAGUUUAAUAAAGCAAUUGUUCAGCAUUCUGAAUCAAUGGAGUCAGAUGCCAAUCAUUCCCUGUGACAAGGGCACAAUGCAUUCAAUAACCCAGCAGUGUGAACUUUGCCUCCAGACUGACCCAAGAAUACCCCUAAACCAAACCUGGGCCAAAUUGGAAAGGGCCAUGAACCUGGUCAUCAGUGGCAAAUUGAUUUUUCAGAAUUACCAAGAAAAGGGGGGUAUCAAUAUUUGUUGGUACUAACAGAUACCUUUUCAGGUAUGGCCAGAGGCUUUCCCUACCAGGACUGCCAAAGCCCGGGAGGUAACCAAGGUGCUGUUGCAAGAAAUAAUACCACACUUUGGAGUUCCAGCUACAAUAUCCUCAGUGUCUUACAGAAAAGACCUUGGAGCCGCAGUGGGAAGGACUGUUCCAAGUGCCUCUCACCACUUUACUGCAAUUAAGAUCCAAGAGCAGAACGCCUGAAUUCACCACUCUUGCAUAAAGAAAGCUGCUGAGGCUCUUUGGAGAGUAACGCCAGGUGAUGAACUAAGAUUCACUCAAACAAAAUAAGUAUAUUGGGGUAGAAAAUGUUUAGCAAACCUUUAGCAAUUGCAGGAAUUUAAUCAAGAAAAUUGUUUUGUUAGAGUCCUAGGGUGACGUUAUCAUGCUUGUAUACCCAGUCAGGGGUUCUGUUUAUGCUGGAUGUUAUAUUCUGUGCCUUAAAGGCUGGCUCUCACAGUGAAGGUGGGGAGAAGAAGCAGCAUGGAGUUUCUUUAUCAGCAGCUCUCCCCCACAGUCUGCUGGAACACAGAACUCCACUGUUGUUUUCUGGGCACAGACAGGACAGAACACAGCACUCCUUUUGCUUUUUAGAUAGUUUAGCAAGCUGAACCAGUCCAAGUUUUCCCUGGACUGUUUUCCUUUCACUUUUCUUGGAACCGUUCAAACCUGCUCCAGACCAGGACCCAGGGAAACACUGAGAGCUCACACUUCAUGGCCUACUGGGGUCUGCUCUGGGCAGCAGCCAUUCCCAGCACCAGGGGGACUGAUAACAGAGUUACCACUCCCAGGAGAGACUUUUCGGAAUUUGUCAUCUCUUCAGAGUGGUGAAUGAGUUUUGUCACCCAGUACUGUUCAUUUCUUGUGCUGGGGAGUGCUUUGCCUGUUAAAUAAACCAUUUUUUUCCA